rnacentral:rRNA from 1 species
AUUAAACGCUGGCGGCAUGCCUUACACAUGCAAGUCGAACGGCAGCACGGGGGCAACCCUGGUGGCGAGUGGCGAACGGGUGAGUAAAGCAUCGGAACGUGCCCUGGAGUGGGGGAUAACGUAGCGAGAGUUACGCUAAUACCGCAUAUUCUGUGAGCAGGAAAGCAGGGGAUCGCAAGACCUUGCGCUCUGGGAGCGGCCGAUGUCGGAUUAGCUAGUUGGUGGGGUAAAGGCCUACCAAGGCGACGAUCCGUAGCGGGUCUGAGAGGAUGAUCGCCACACUGGGACUGAGACACGGCCCAGACUCCUACGGGAGGCAGCAGUGGGGAAUUUUGGACAAUGGGCGAAAGCCUGAUCCAGCCAUGCCGCGUGAGUGAAGAAGGCCU